CUAAAACAGUGGUUCCCAAACUUAUUUUGUCUACUGCCCACUUUGAGAAUAAAUAUUUUUUUAGCGCCCCCCCAUUUUUUCACCUAUUUAAAGACCACUAUAACUUCAAAUUAAAUUAAUUAAUUAUUGUGACCUAUAUAUGUUUAUUAACGGAGAGUUCUAAACGAAACUUUUACUAUAACCAGCAACUUGAAACCUGAGGGCAGGUAGGUAACAUACCGCGGCGCUUAGGUCUCAAGUUGACUCUUACAGUGGCGGUGUAGCAUCGGGUGGCACCCGGGGCGGACUACCUAUUGAGCACCCCCCAAAAAAACGACAAAAUAUGGUGCAAUAUGAAAUUUUUGAGUUUUGGAAGAGUAAAGUACCAAAACAAGUUAAAAAAAACCGCGCAAAUUAUUUAGUUUUGGGGCACAAAAGUACCUCAACAAGUGUGGAAAAAAAACACUGCAAAGAGAAGAAGCCGCGAGCGCAAAUUUUUUGAUUUUUGGGACGCAAUGAUACCUAAAGAAAUGAGAAAAUAGUCACUGUUAAGUGAAAGGCGCGAGUGCAGCGAGCGCAAAAUUUUUUGACUGACUCAAAGGGCGCAGAAUAAACCAGAAAUGUUGAAAAAACUGUUUUUUUCUUUAUAACUUUGAGGAAUUAAUUUAAGUAAACCGGGAAAAAACAUAAAUAAACGAGAAAGAGAGGGGUGACAGCCGGACUGGCACCCCUCCAGUCCCGCCUCGACGUCAUCCCUUGUUUGCGCAUGCACUGUUGUAGUUUUGUUUAAAAUUUGAAUAAUGAAGUGAACCUAGGCUUUGCAGAUUAGAAUGGCACCCUCAGAGACUUGUCUCUUCUGCCCGUGCCAUCCUGGUCGUACAACUUGAACCAGCCGACUGAUACAGGAAUUCACAAUUCGGGUUAUUUAACAAAAACUUGUAAAAACAUGAUAGAUAUCUACGAGUACUAAUAACUAUCAAAAUUCGAAAGUGUGUCUGUUGUCUUUUUAUUUGUUUGUUUGUAUCUACUUUAAUUACGAAACGGAGCGACCAAUUGACAUUGACAUGAUUUUUAUUUUUUCUAUAUCACCCCCCAGGCCUCUACACAACGCCCCUAUUUUCUUUCUGGGUCUCUUGCCGCCCCCCUUGAGACCUGCAGCGCCCACAAGGGGGCGUUAUCGCCCACUUUGGGAAACACUGUGCUAAAAGUUUUACUAGCAUGAUAUAUUAUCAAUUUUUACCAUGACAGCAAUUCCACCCAGAUAUUUUCAGAGAUAAUAUGUUACUUAAUCAUUUUUAUAUGUAUACUGUAUAAAAAAAAUAAUUAUGGACUUAUGCCCGUUUUCACCAACAACCUCUUACCGUUUCCCUAUCUAAAUGCUACUUUUAGUAAGGAUCCCUCCCAAUUUGACACCUACCUAAAUUCAUUUUCACCACACUUGUACAUGGAUCCCUUAAGUAAGUGACAGAUUACUAGUUCUACAAACGAUAAUGCAAAGUCGAUAUUUUAUCGAUAAAAUGAUUUUUUUGUACUUCUUAAGAAAUAAACGUCUAUCGAGUAUAUAUUACUAAAGCCUGUGAGUUUUUUUUCUUGUGAUGUUAUUUUAAUUUAACUUAAACUACAUUACGCUAUGUUUUAUGCAAUAAAACAGUAAAGAGGUUUUCUAUAGGUGAAUUUUUACCUAUGUCAUUCGCGCGUUUGUCAAUCAAAUUGACUGAUGUGUAUGUGUACAUAGAGUGAGGUUAAUUUUGGGUUUAUUAUUGUUGAAUAGAUAAGUUUAUUUUGGCAGAGAAGAGAAAACGAGGAUAAACCUUUCUUGCAGAAGAAAAAGAUAAGCUAGGAAAUUGCUGACGUCUCAUAGAGACACAAUAUUGAACAAAAAACGGAUGGGACCACGAACGAAGCCAAAAACAAAGCUUGGAUCCAGUCACAAAUAGUUUUAAUGCGACAGGAACCCUUUACAGUUUCAGGUGGUGCGAGAAAUUGGAAAGACGUGUAAAAACAUCCUGCGCCCAGCCCACCUCAAAUUGAAUUGGUGCAGGAGGAUGAUGAUACUGUUUGGUACAUCAUAUGAGGACUAAUAUUAAAAUAUUUGUUUAC
rnacentral:lncRNA from 1 species